CCAUGCUCAUUCGGCGCCAUUCGACGCCAUGCUUUGUUUGCUUCAUUUGUAGUGUGCGUUUUCUACGGGUUAGACGCGUGCAAUGCAGCGGGUAACCAUGUUUGUUCGUUUUUAAUUUGGUACAGUUAGUACACGAGUGAUGCAGUUUGUUAAACCAUAAUCGUGUGUGACCGUAAGUGCAAUCCAUCAGCAUCAUGCGAAUUUUAAGAAGACAGAGUAAUUGUGGCUAGGGAAAAAUCCAUACCAUUUUUUAUGAUUGAGAGAAUCCUGUACUUAGUGGCUAUCAUCGGUGAAUAUUCCUCUCCACCAUCUUUUCGUAGGAUUUGCGGAUUUAAAGAAAAAUACUAAACUUCCUGAGGCGAUCUCAGGGGCGAUCAUAAUCCAGGCAUUUUCAAGAAUAAAACUUGGAGGGGCCUAAGAUUCGUUAAUUGCAUUUUACUAUUAGUAUAAUAAAAAGACAAUUGGGUGGAUUAUUUAAUUUUAUAGAAGGACAGUGCCACAUUUGGGUUUUAAAUUUAAUUGAGUUGCACUGGGAGCGCAAGUCUUGUAUUUCAUGUUAUGUUGCAUUCAGUACUCGUUCUCGGGUUUACUUUCAAUUUAAUUGUGUCACUAUUUUAACACUGUACAAAAUGUAUUCCUUUAUUUUAAUUGAGUCAGCGCAAGCCUUGCAUUUAAUACAAACUGAAACUGGUUUCUCAGCCGAUACCGAAACCGAAAUUACGGCUUUGGUCUCAGUUUCAGCCGAAACUGAAACCGAAACUGUAACUUACAUAAACAUAUUUAAUUUAAGUUUCUAUGGUGCAACAAAAUUAUUGGCCGAAACUGAAACAAAAGCCGAAACUAGAUUUCUUGGCCUAAACCGAAACAGAAAUUUCAGUCGGUCUGUAAUAUUUGGUAUUUGUCUAGCUUUAAUUCGAGAAGGGGGCAUCUCUAGAAAUAUCAAAUUAAAUUCUCCAUGGGGUUGUAUUAGUUUGUUGCAGAAGUUGUGUCUGCAACAUGGGUAAAUUCAAACAUUUGGUGGUGCUUUUGUUUUGGUAUAGAUCUUCCACAUUUUCUUUUUCUUUGAGUCCUUUAUGUUAUCUAAGUAGAAUUACUGUUAACGCUCUCGAAGGCGUCUUAAGGAUCGCAAUUCUAAUUGCAUCGCAUUCGAAUAGUCCGUCGAUAAAUUUUUUAUAAUAUAAUUUCAUAAUUUUUGAUAUGAUUAUAAUUUGUAUGAUUAGCAAACGGGAAUCCUGGAAAAAGAUCAUUUUUGUGCUUCGAUAUACUGAUUUUUGGUAGUUUUAGGUGUCUAACGAGCGAACGAAAUGUCGUAGGACAACGAUUCUUUUAUCAGAUUGUAAGUAUUGAAUUUGUAUAUCAUUUACAUUUAUAAUUUGUGUGAUUAGCACAAGGGAAACCUGCAAAAACAUAAUUUUUGUGCUUCGAUGUACUGAUUUUUGGUAGUUUUAGGUGUCUAUCGGGCGAACGAAAUGUCCUAGGAUUUUUUGAUCAGAUUGUAAGUAUCGAAUUUGUUUAUAAUUUUCAUAAAUCAUCUUCAUUAAUGGAAAUUGAAUUAAAUGUUAAAUAUUAGCAGACGUAAUGCAGAUUUCCGGGUAAUUCCAAAGUUUCAAAACUUGAUGACGCCGCCUAUUUUUAAUGGUUUCUUCCGUCACACCCAGGUGACGCUAGUGUCAGCUAUCAAGUUUGUUAUGUUCCGCCACGGUCAGGUGACGCUACCAUCGAUUAGGUUUAAAUUCAUACUUAAUUUUUGUGGUUGCUUUUUAUGUUUAACAAAAAUUUGCAUAUUUGUAAUCGCAUUUCUAUCGUAUACAUAUAGAAAAAUGCGCCUCCAACUUUGGGUCAGUUAUCAAUUCCCGGGGUUGCUUAGUUCGGCUUAGUCGGUUGAGCGCUGUUGCGAGUGCGCACGUGUUUUGUUCAUUAAUCAAACGUGGUGACGCUUUCUCGCGGUUCUUGAUAUUUUGUAGCAUUACUAGAUUCGAUUACUUUUAUUUUUGAAUACGUAAUCCAUUUUAAAACAUUUAUUUAUAAAAUUCUAUGUGAUAUUAUUGGAUUUUACAAUCUUAUAUGUUGAGUUAACACAACGAAUGAUUUGAUUGAUUAAUUGUGGUACGUGCGUGGCGUUCGUCGGAUAUGUUUUGAUGACUAUGGAUAUUUAAGGAGCUCAAGUUAAAUAUAAUUGUUAAACGUGAAUACAAGUGAGUACAUUGGGAAUCUCCGCGUAGAUUAGUAAAUACCUGCGUAUCUUCAAUUCUACAAUUUGAAGAAACGUGUUUGCGCUCUUCUGUCAUUUAUUGAUUGAAGAACAAAGGAGUAAGUAGCAUCAAAUAAAAGUUUACUUUUAUUUAACUUUUUAAAUCUUCCAGUUACCAUGUUAUUGCUUUAUAAUAAUUGUCAUUGAUUUGGUCAAUAAAGGAUAAUUUAAUUUUA